GGGUCAGCGACUUAUAUUCUGUAGCAAGGUUAACCGUAUAGGGGAGCCGAAGGGAAACCGAGUCUUAACUGGGCGUUAAGUUGCAGGGUAUAGACCCGAAACCCGGUGAUCUAGCCAUGGGCAGGUUGAAGGUUGGGUAACACUAACUGGAGGACCGAACCGACUAAUGUUGAAAAAUUAGCGGAUGACUUGUGGCUGGGGGUGAAAGGCCAAUCAAACCGGGAGAUAGCUGGUUCUCCCCGAAAGCUAUUUAGGUAGCGCCUCGUGAACUCAUCUUCGGGGGUAGAGCACUGUUUCGGCUAGGGGGUCAUCCCGACUUACCAACCCGAUGCAAACUGCGAAUACCGAAGAAUGUUAUCACGGGAGACACACGGCGGGUGCUAACGUCCGUCGUGAAGAGGGAAACAACCCAGACCGCCAGCUAAGGUCCCAAAGUCACAGUUAAGUGGGAAACGAUGUGGGAAGGCUCAGACAGCCAGGAUGUUGGCUUAGAAGCAGCCAUCAUUUAAAGAAAGCGUAAUAGCUCACUGGUCGAGUCGGCCUGCGCGGAAGAUGUAACGGGGCUAAACUGUGCACCGAAGCUGCGGCAGCGACGCUUAUGCGUUGUUGGGUAGGGGAGCGUUCUGUAAGCCUGCGAAGGUGUCCUGUGAGGGAUGCUGGAGGUAUCAGAAGUGCGAAUGCUGACAUAAGUAACGAUAA
rnacentral:rRNA from 1 species